UUAUGCUUAGAUCUGGACAGGCGUUCGUUGACGAAGGUAUGUGUUUUAGUGUUUUAUUUUUCUCGAUUGUAGUUUUUGGAUUUCCGAUCGACAUUAUAUGUCAUCGUGCAGGUGGAAGCGGUGUGAUUACUGAUUCCUUUGAACAGUUUACGGGGAGUAGCAACUUCAGCCACUUUUAUAAGUGUUUGAUCAAACAGUUUUAAGGAAGCACACUUCUUGAGGGCAGUCACCCAAUUCUUGAAUCAUU